rnacentral:lncRNA from 1 species
CAGUGAACUCAUGAACUCCUAACCUUCCGAGAGACUGCAAGCUGAGAGGGAUUUUAAUCUAUUUCAAACCUUGUUAAGGACUGAAUUUAGCAGGAGAUAACAAACAAACUUGGGAGGAGAGAACUUAAGAGCUGCAGGAAUUCCAACUUGUUCCCUCAAGAGCUGAGAAGCCUAAGUAUCCAGAAAAGCUUUAUAAAUGGCUACAAACACUGGGGGGAAUAACAAUCACCUGGAACACACAAACAUUGAAAUUAAACCAUGAACGUCAGAGUGGGAGAUGGGGUGCCUUCGUCUUUCCUUUCCUGGUGCCAGAGGACAGACUGUACGUCUUGCCCAGAGGUCUGGGGGAGGACCUCCCUUCCUACUGAGUCCUCGGCAGAGUCCUCUGCACCAUGAGGUUUGGCUCUGUGCCCCUCUUGCUGGAAAACUGCCCUCAGUGCAAGAAAAUCCCAAGGCAUCAUCAGCCAGUGCCCUCCACAUCAUUGGAGCUGCAUCCUGUGAGCCCUCUCCUGCCAUUGGGGCGAUGUCUGCUGGAUGCUUCACGGGUUUGGUCCAAGCAAACUCCUGCUCUGUGGUGCAUGGUGACAGGCCAGCACUGCUCCAUAAUGGGAGGAGGAAUGUGAGAAGGUCAUUUAGUACUCCACUUCUCAAGUUUCUCAUCAAAACUUCUCAUUUCCCAUGGCUGACCCUUCUCUGGAAAUUUACUUCUGCCCAUGGUGACACAAUCCUUUCAGCUCCUUCAGCAGCGCUGGAAAACACAGGGAUCUUGCGAGAGAGACUGUAGAAAACUGCAGAAUCAGUAUCUGCAAAGUUUUUUGGAGCCAGCACCCCAACAUGGAGUGGUGUGCUCCUCCAUCACUCUAACCACCCAUGUCCUCCCAUCCCCAAAGUGAAGUAUGGGCUGAAUUACAAAAGUACAGCAUUUCAUUGACCAAGACAAACAUAUACACCUCAACUUGCCUGUUUUAGAGAAUACCUUUUCAGACAUAACUUUGAUAUUACCUUUAUUUUUUUAUCAGUGAUCGGUAAAUUUUGAAGACAUUAAGAACGUGAGAUUCUCUGUGCUUGUAGAAACCCAUUUAAAGCUUCUUCUUUAUUAAUGGCUUUGGAAAUUCCUUACCAAUACUUACUGUAAGUUAAAGGUAAAGCAUGGAUAAUAUUUCAGCCAUCAGGAAAAAAGGUUUUCAGAAUUGCUGGUCAGACUGUAGCAUCCUGGGGCAAAAUGGAACCACAUGGAGUACUGAAUCAGGACUGCUGUCUUCAGAGGUGAUCUUCAGAAGAUGAAUUUCUACACCAGAUGUUCUCCCAUACCAUGGUGCAUAAAAAACACCGUAACGAAGUGAAGAUCCAGCAGUAAAAGACCAAAAGACAAAACUGCAGGGUGAUUUUGGAAGAAAACAGGAGCAAUCUGGACCAUCAAGUGCAACUGCUCUGAAGACCUCACUCAUUUUUUCCACAGAAAUCAAAAGUACAUGAGUCUAUGGCAGGGAAUAAAAGAAAUGUUCAGUAAUAACUGGGACUCA